GGAGAGAUGGCCGAGUGGUUUAAGGCGGCGGUCUUGAAAACCGUUGAGCGAAAGCUCCGGGGGUUCGAAUCCCUCUCUCUCCG
rnacentral:tRNA from 1 species